rnacentral:tRNA from 1 species
AUUCACUUAAUAUAAUAAGUAUAUCUAACUUCCAAUUAGAAAGUUUAAAAAUUUAAAAUGAAUA